CAAUUGUUGAAGUAAGCAGCAACAGCAGCCAAGCCAAAUACCACCACCACAUCCCUCACAACAUAACUCAUUGAUCUCCAAGGAUCCCUAACCCAACAAUGCUUUGGAAUGGCAGCACGAAUAUCAGCCAACCGAAACGGCGGAGGAGCAGCCGGGUCGAAACUACCCUCAUCCUCAACCCCAUUAACCUCAUUAACUCUCUCCCUCUCAUUAUCCUCAUCAACAGAAGCAACUGCCACAGG
rnacentral:lncRNA from 1 species